GGUGGAGGUGGAGAGCGGAAAGUCGUUUUCGUCCUAAGCCAUUAUUUCUAUUGUUCGGUUCAUCAUAAAACGUUACGAUCGAAACUCGAGUUAAUCUGAAGUUGCGUAAUUGAUUUCGAUCUAUCGUAGGGCCGAGAUCAAUUACGAUAAAGGGGAUAAAGAAAAUAUAAUAAAAUAAUAUACUAAGCAAAGAUGGUUAUAUUUUAAAUAUAUUUAAUUAUAAUAUUAUUACUCUCUUAUUCAGUUGACAUAUUUAAAAUAUGAUAAAAAUUAAUUAGUUAAGUUUUAAUAUUUUAUUUAUUUAGUUUGUAUAAUUAAAAUAUGAUAAAAAUUGAUUAAUUAAAUAUUGAUAUAUAUUUAUUACGGUAAAGGGGAUAAAUAUUUUAUUUAUUUACUUGCUCUGGUCUAUGAACCGGGUCCAAGCAGGAGUUAUUUCGCAAUGAGCUAGGGCAUGGACCCGGUCCAAGUCUAGCCGAGUGCAUUGUUUAACUAUCAUAGUGGUGGUUUUGUUUUAUAUUAAGUUUGUUGUGAGUUUUCAGUAUUAGUAGUGUUGAGUGGAUGGAUAUUGGAGUGCAAAAAGAUUAUUAUAUGUCUUUUAUUUUAUUUUACAUAUAAAUAUAGACUGUCCGGUUUGUGAGAAUCCUUAUUGUUGCUAUUAUCGUUUCUUUUAAUUUUAUUUUUAUUUU
rnacentral:lncRNA from 1 species